rnacentral:rRNA from 1 species
AUUGAACGCUGGCGGCAUGCCUAACACAUGCAAGUCGAACGGCAGCACGGGGGCAACCCUGGUGGCGAGUGGCGGACGGGUGAGGAAUGCAUAGGAAUCUGCCCAGUUGUGGGGGAUAACGUAGGGAAACUUACGCUAAUACCGCAUACGACCUACGGGUGAAAGAGGGGGACCUUCGGGCCUCUCGCGAUUGGAUGAGCCUAUGCCGGAUUAGCUAGUUGGCGGGGUAAGAGCCCACCAAGGCGACGAUCCGUAGCUGGUCUGAGAGGAUGAUCAGCCACACUGGAACUGAGACACGGUCCAGACUCCUACGGGAGGCAG